GUAUUUAACCACUGUAUACAUUUUACAGCAGACCGUACUACCACCCUACUUGCCCGGAAGUGACGAUUUGGUUACGUCCAGGGUACUAUUACUGGAGAUAUAUUAUAUAUAACAACGAUAAGACGAGAACGUACAAGUAUUGCUAUAACUACUGGUAUAUCUCUAUAAUAGAGUGUGCUUGCAAUUAUUGUCGUUUCAACCUCAGCCCUCACUCAUACUAUGACCGAAGGUACAGAUGCUUGGAGGAAUAUAGAUACGAACUAGUUGCCGUGAGAUGCUACUCAGUCACUGUUAACCAAGAGGGACAAAUUGUCGGAAAGCCAUCAUGGGGUAAAAUCGAGUACAGACAUAUCCGACUUCCGAAAGAUUGCUGCUGUCACUACUACGGUUACUACUACAGAGAUACUCUCCGCCAGUGUGCCGUACCAGCUUAAACUCCAGUAUGCCGCAUCAUCUUAAGGAAAUUAAAGUUACAAAAAAAACAUAUUUAUUUACUCUGUGUCUGCAGGCAAAUUCAACCCCUCAAUCAGUGCAGACCAAGUUCAUCCCUGCGGUUUGUUCAUGGUCUGCACUGUCCACUACUCAUUGCUGUACUUUUCCCCUAAAAUGAUAAAUGGUUUUGUCCAGACUGAAAGAUGGACAAGUCGAUUUAAGAUAUUUAGGGUGGUAAUGGUUAUAACAAAUAAGUGAUUAUUCAAAAUCCAAGUGGCGCUUUGCACGAUUUAUGCAAAAUGUUGCUACAAUUAACAUUAAUAAUCGUAUUUUUACCCUGUUAUUAACAAUUAAAUCUAUUUCUGUAUAUAUAUACACUUUGUAAAUAAGUAAAGACACAUUUUCCACGCUUUGUUAUUUCUAAGUGAUUAGAACACUUACUAAAAUGUCCAUACAUAACGUAUAUCAUGAACCUGGAGGCGUGACUCUUUAAUAAGUUCUUGCUCGUAAAUAUGAGUCAAAUAUAAAUAUAUAUAUCCACAUAAAUAAAGUUAUUUUACGCA